GUUUUGGUUAAGAAGACAAUCAAAUAGGAAUAUUUUGUUUUUUAAGGCUACAUAGUGGUCCUUGAAUACUUGGCACUGGCAAUCUCAGGGAAAGAUGCCAGUGUAUCAGGCCUUUUUGUUAUGAAGAAGCUUAUGCAUAAUUUUGAGAACCAGGACUGCGGGGAUUUAGGUGUCCUGGAACAGGUGACAGACUCUUCCCUUCACUACUCGGCCGUGCUUAGAAGGGCACAGCUGCCACCUCUCAUGCCCAGGACCUUUCAGAGGAGCAGCUGCAUUUUGAAAACAAAAGAUCAGGAGGCAAAGUCACCACCCACAAGCAGAAUUUGCAGCUCUGCAGCCAUCAGGGACUGGUGCAAAGGGGCCUGAUGCAGAUGCCAGAGAACAUACGUCCUAUUGACACCAGGGAACAACAAGAACUGAAAGUAUAACCUAAUCUAAGGUGAGAACAAUGUCUACUCUUGCAUAUUUAGCAAGGAUAGCCUUGGGCCAUAAUCUGAAACUCAGCUUUGCCCACACCAUAACAUAUUUUCACAUUUUUGUAAUCAGCUGUUUGGGUCAAUCUAUUGUAAAGACUAUGUAAUGUCUGCAAAAUAAGGUGGUGGAUGCACUUCAAGUUGGAUGCCCCUCAGUAGAUACCCAUGCCUGCAGUAGAUACCCAUGCCUGCGCACAUUCCAGCUCCAGUGUCCAUGAAAGAUUUCCCAUAAAACAGAUAGGAAGACACUUGGAAGUACCUCCAGUAGUUUGGUGAGUCUGCAGUUCAACACAAAGUGUAGAAGAACAGGUUGAAGGCUGUGGACUAUGACUUCUUUUUACCACGGCAUAUUGCUAGGCCAGGUUUAGCUGUGUGUUCUGGGCUGAAGCACUCCUUAGGACUUGCCUUUCCAGCCUGGAUAGCACUUUUGAACUGGCAAAGGGUAGGUGAUUGACAUCAGACAGAAGGCCUGAUUUCAUCAAAGCUUUGGCAUGCCACUUGCUGGAAAAUGUAUUCCAAUAAGUGCCACCCAAAGUUAUUAAAUGCGGCACUGAAAGUGAACAAAGUCCCUGCCAAGGAACUGCCACUCUGCACUAGUUUGGUCUCUGCUCGUACAGGCAGGCCUGAUGUUAGUCAUCAAUGGGAAAAGGUCAGUGGGACUAGGGAGGGUCUGGCUGCACCUUUUGAAAACCCUGGGCACAUGGCAGCAGUGUAAUCUUGUAAGCUUAGGAUGUUAAAAUACAGAUCUUCUUUCUCUUGGACAGGAUUAAGAACAUUAAUUGGAGGUAAAUGAUGACUAUAGCAUUUCAUGUUUACUUUACAUGCCAGUGCUCACAGGAGGGGUAGAAUGGUGGGGAACCCAGUUCAGUGUCCAUAUGAGACACUGAAAUGCCUAUGAGAAGUUCUUCUGAGCUUCCCCAGAGACUGUGUUUCAAACCUUGAGCUAACUGUUUUCUUCUUGACUGCUGUGAGUUCACUCCCCUAGCUGCUGGGGCUUGAUAAUCUCCGUAUCACAGAUCUCUGCUUGGAUUUCUGUCACUGUCUCUAUGUGACCUGUCCUCUGCUGGGCAGAAACUUGCAGGGUCACAUGAGGUGCCUCUGCUGGGCUGGAAAUGGGAAUGGGUUAUUUCUUCUGAGUGGAGUGGGCCCCUAAGAUACAAACCUCAUUUCAAAUAGCAUUUGACACAGCAGAGUGCGUUUGUCUUCUCCAACAUGCGAAGUAGAGACCAGCUAUUUUCUGCUCAGCAUGGAAAGGAAACAGGAGAACUGAGACAGCAACACCCACGUCUGUGAAGGUAUUUAAGCACUCGCUGGGAUCCAUGCAUCGUGGCCAAGCUGUUUGUUGAUAGUCAGACAUAGUCUGGGCAGCAGGUGCCUAAGUCCCAUUUUUCCAAAGCCCUAAGGUACAGUCUUUAUCACAGGGUCAGGUUUCUCCAAAGUUCCUUGCAGGA
rnacentral:lncRNA from 13 species